AGUGAACGCUGGCGGUAGGCCUAACACAUGCAAGUCGAACGGCAGCACAGUAAGAGCUUGCUCUUACGGGUGGCGAGUGGCGGACGGGUGGGGAAUACAUCGGAAUCUACUUUUUCGUGGGGGAUAACGUAGGGAAACUUACGCUAAUACCGCAUACGACCUACGGGUGAAAGCAGGGGAUCUUCGGACCUUGCGCGAUUGAAUGAGCCGAUGUCGGAUUAGCUAGUUGGCGGGGUAAAGGCCCACCAAGGCGACGAUCCGUAGCUGGUCUGAGAGGAUGAUCAGCCACACUGGAACUGAGACACGGUCCAGACUCCUACGGGAGGCAGCAGUGGGGAAUAUUGGACAAUGGGCGCAAGCCUGAUCCAGCCAUACUGCGUGGGUGAAGAAGGCCUUCGGGUUGUAAAGCCCUUUUGUUGGGAAAGAAAAGCAGCAGGUUAAUACCCCGCUGUUCUGACGGUACCCAAAGAAUAAGCUCCGGCUAACUUCGUG
rnacentral:rRNA from 1 species